GGUAGCUCAGUGGUGGAGCACUUGCCUAUCAUGUGUGGGGCCCUGGGUUCAAUUCCCAGUGCCA
rnacentral:tRNA from 1 species